AUUAAAAACCAAAAAAACUAUAAAA
rnacentral:sRNA from 1 species